AAGGAGGCCCGCGAGCUGCAUGGGUUUGUGACUGGGCGCUUGUGGUUCGGGGCCCUGUGCUGGCACCGGGGGCGCCGGGUUGGCGACUUUUGCACUCUUGGCAUUGGGUGGGCGGCAUCUUGGGGGUCGCAUGAGCCAGUGGCAUCAUGCCCGUGGGCGCUGGGGUCAGCGUCGCGGCUUUUCCGGACGGACGUUCGUCGGCCAGGAGGAAGGGCGGAAAGCACAUCUCGGAAAGGUGGAAAGACUAUCUCCCAGUUGAACAGCGGAUGCCUGGGACUCGUUUCAUUGCUUUCAAAGUUCCUUAAAAAAAGAGUUUUGAAAAGAAUCUUGCUCCAGAAGAACGUUUCUCCCCCUUGGAUCUCUUAACAAAAUCCAAGGACAGAAUGAAGAACUUGGGCUGAUUAUUGACUUAACAAAUACUCGCCGCUAUUACAAGCCAGAGGACUUACCAGAAACUAUUCCUUAUUUAAAAAGUUGUCCAAUUGGGCAUCAGGUGUCAGAUGACGACGCUAGUUUUAAAUUCCAGUGUGUUGUUAAUGGGUUUCUGAAAGAACAUAAAGAUAACGGUGAGUUGCUUUUGUUUUUGUUUUUGUUUUUCCUUUACCUGAACUUUGGUAUGCAUUUUGAGUGGGCUUGGGGGUUUUUAACAUUUUUAAUAGUUCUGACAUUAGUGUCAAGUUGUGUUUGGUAACAUUAAGGUGGAAAUGUCAGAUGGUGCUAAUAGAGUACGGUGUUUUUCCUGUUUAUGGUCACAAACAAUUUAGUUUAGUUUGGAAAGUGAUUUUUGUGAGAAAUAUGA